CAGAUUUGGGAUGAUGACCACCGGUGGCGUAUGAAUUGUAUACUGUGAACACGUGUCUGGAACUCUGAGGUCCAG